AAAAAGAAUAAAAAAUAAAGGAUAAAAAAAAUAAAGAAACGGAGAUAAAAAGACGAGAGAAUGAAGUUCAACCUUUUUGUUUUUUGAUUGCUUAAAUUGUGUCCUUUACAAUAUUUCGUGUUUGUGGCUAUAUAGCUGAAUACAAAAAUGCUUUAGUAUAUUCAUUGCUAUUGUUUUGCUUCGUUUCUGCUUUUUGCUUUCUUUUUGUUUCUGUUUUUGCAGACUUAGAGGGUCAACGAGGGUGAAAACAUGCCAUUUUGAUGCGAGGAAGCAGCCAUUGAGAGGAUGGUAUGCUGUCAGAGGCACGUGGGGUGCGGGGCAACCGAGGCUGCGGCGAUGGAGUGGAUGGGAACCCUAGGGUUUCCUGAAAAUUUCAAAUAUUUUGGGCCAAUCGGGCCUUGUGAUGUUGGGCUCAAGAUUUUGGGUUGUGUUUUGGGUCUUAAUUGGGCUGAUGGUUUAGGUUAGGUGUUGGGUCUUUUAAUUGAACUAUAAACAUUUUGGGCCCGGGCAAAAUUUGGGUCCUACAGCUGCCCCUCUUUGCUCAUUGUCGUGUAAUGGGAAUGGAGCAAAGACUAUAAGAGGGCCAAUUUUGCCUGGAUCCACUGAGUGGCGCUUUUUUUUCUUUGAGUAGCUUCAAUAUGCCCUACUCCAAUCAGCUCUACUGCAACUCCAGGGAGAUAAGACUUGUUAUUUCAACCUGUUUCACUGCAACUUUAGGGAGGCAAAGGUUUGUGAUCUAUAGCUUCGAUUUACUCCACUGCAACUUCAGGGGGUAAGAUUUGUAACUUCAACCUGCUUCGCUGCAACUUCAGGGAGACAAGGUUUGUUUUGAUUUGUUCUACUGCAACUUCAGAGAGAUAAGAUCUGUAAUUUAUGGCUUCAAUCUGUUCCACUGCAACAUCAGAGAGGCAAAGGUUUGUGAUCUAUAGCUUCGAUGUACUCCACUACAACUUCAGGGGGUAAGAUUUGUAACUUCAACAUGCUCCGCUGCAACUUCAGGAAGACAAGGUUUGUUUUGAUUUGUUCUACUGCAAUUUCAGAGAGAUAAGAUCUGUAAUUUAUGGCUUCAAUCUGUUCCACUGCAACUUCAUAGAGAUAAGACUUGUUUUGAUCUACUCUACUGCAACUUCAGGGAAAUAAGAUUUGCUAUCUCCAGUCUGCUCCACUGCGACUUUAGGGAGAUAAGACUUGUAACUUCAACCUACUCCGCUACAUCUUCAAGGAGAUAAGGUUAGUGGCCUCGAUCUGCUUCACUGCAACUUCAGGAAGAUAAGAUUUUCCAUCUUCGUAGCUUCAAUCGAUCUUGUUACGUUGUCCUCUGAGGGAUAUGACUCGUAAAAUUGAUUUCUUGAGCCUAUGCUUAUGCCAAAUGAUUAGGAUGUCAUGAAUGAAUCAAAUUCCCCAACCAGAUGUGUAUAGGUGAUGUUUGAAUGAAAGCAAAAAUGUUAUUUUCUUUUAAUGCUUAAUUUGAUAUUACUCGUUGUUCAUCGAGGUUUUAUCACUGACGUAUUACUCUCCCCUUUUUCUUUAGCUGGUAUCUUUUUAAGAAUAAUCACAAUUUGGGCUAUUCUUUUCCAAUGUCUCCUUGAAUUUGGGUAAUUCAAAUUAAUUAGUCCCGUUUCAAGUCCUUAUUUCAUUUAAAAUCAUUUCAGAGUAAUAUGCAGAACUCAUUUUGGAUGUCAUUAGUCCAUUAAUCGUUAUUUCAAUGAAAAGUGCUUGAAAAAGAUUAUCGCAAUGGACAAGACGGAAUUUUAUUGAGAAAGAGCUUGAAAUGAAUAAUAUAAUCAAGAUAGCAAAUUCGCUAAGAUACAAACUGAAUAAAAAAUAAAAAAAAUAGGUGCCUCGGAUAUCGUAACAUGAGCUUCUCUGCCCAAAACUUCUUGAGGACCCUUUAAAUUUGAUAUGUGUUUAGAAGACCAAGAGUACUUUGUUCAUGCCCCAAGAUGUAGCAUCCCUCCUUCUUGUUAAUUUAGAGAAGACAAAAUUACUGUAUGCCCCAUUUCAAUCAAAACUUGAAUUGCCCAUUCCUGGGUUUUUAACUCAAAAACCUUUUGGUCUCAAAGUGCCCUUUUUGCGGGUUUUCGCCUUAGCCUUUCCUUUUUUUAGGUAAAGUACCUCUUGACUGAAUCUGAAUUCACGGGGUUAGGCAAGCUUUUGCCAUCCAUCUCAGUCAAGAUCAGAACUCCUUCAGAGAAAGCUUUCUUCACCAUAUAAGGUUCCUCCCAAUUUAGCAUCCAUUUUCCUUUGAAGUCCUUUUGUAUGGGAAAAAUCUUUUUUAGAACAAGGUCUCCUUUACAGAAUUCUCUAGGGAUAACCUUCUUGUUAUAAGCCAGCAUCAUUCACUUUUGGUACAUUUGACCAUGACGAAUAGCUUUCAACCUCUUUUCUUCAAUUAAGUUCAACUGGUCGUACUGCGAUUGGAUCUAUUCUUCUUCAUCUAACUUUAGUUCUGAUAGGACUCGUAGAGAAUGAAUUUCAACCUCAAUAGGCAAGACCGCCUCCAUUUCAUAAACCAAAAAGAAAGGUGUUGCCCCGGUGGAGGUUCUGACUGACGUUCGGUAGGCGUAGAGGGUGAAUGGUAAUUUCUCGUGCCAAUCUUUAUAAGUCUCAGUCAUUUUUCCCAUGAUUUUCUUGAUAUUCUUAUUGGAUGCUUCCACCGCACCAUUCAUCUUUGAGCGAUACGGUAACGAGUUAUGGUGUUUGAUCUUGAAUUGGCUACAGACCUCUGCUAUCGUGUUGUUGUUCAAGUUCAGUGCAUUGUCGGAUAUGAUCCUCUCAGGCAUCCCAUAUUGACAUAUAAUCUCCUUUUUUAAGAACUUGUUGACUACCGAUUUCGUGACGUUGGCAUAAGAAGUGGCUUCUACCCACUUGGUGAAGUAAUCGAUGACCACAAAGAUGAAUCGAUACCCGUUAGACACUUUUGGCAAGAUUGGCGCGAUGACGUCCAUGCUCCACAUGAAGAAAGGCUAUGGAGAAGUCAUGACAUGAAGAGGUGAAGGAGGUACAUGAAUCUUAUCUCCGUAGAUUUGGCACUUAUGACACUUUUUUUCACAAUUGAUGCAAUCCCCUUCUAUAGUGGACCAAUAACAUCCAAAUCUCAUGAUUUGUCUGGCCAUUGUAAAACCAUUAGCGUGUGUUCCGUAGACACCCUCAUGGACCUCUUCCAAUAUCUGCUUAGCUUCGAGAGGGUCCACAUAUCUUAAGAGUACCUGAUCCUUCCUUCUUUUAUAUAGGAUCUCUCCGUCCAAGACAUAGUCACUGGCUAGCCUUCUCAAUGUCCUUUUAUCAGUUUCUGUCGCUUGGUCUGGGUAUUCACGAUUCCUCACGUAUCGUAAUAUAUCCUGAUACCAAGGGUGAUCGUCCUUUUCUUCUUCUUUUUCGAUGUUGUAAUAAUGAGCCAGAGCCUCAUAGAUACUCAUUUGGAUAGGCUUCACAUCCUCCUGUUUAUUUACUUCGAUCAUUGAAGCUAAAGUUGCCAAUGCAUCAACCAUCUAGUUUUCAUCUCGUGGGAGGUAACAGAAAGUGAUAUCGUCAAACCCCUCAAUUAACUCUAGAACCAGCCUUCGGUAAUUGAUCAACUUAGGGUCUCUUGUCUCCCAUUCACCUUUGAGCUGAUAGAUCACUAAUGCCGAAUCCCCGUAUACUUCUAACAUAUUGAUUUUACGUUCAAUGGCCACACAGAUUCCCAUGAAGGCAUGCCUCGUAUUCUGCCAUAUUAUUUGUGUAAUCAAAAUCCAAUUUACUAGUAAAGGGAUAAUGAUCUCUAUUUGGGGAUACCAUAACUGCCCCGAUUCCAUUACCCACAGCAUUUGAGGCUCCGUCAAAAUUCAGUCUCCAAGGAUGAUCUUCUUUAGAGUAUUCUUCCGUGGUCACAACGUACAUUAAGUCUUCAUUUAGAAAAUCAAAACUCAAAGGCUCAUAAUCUUCUAGAGCCCUAUUGGUAAAAAAAUCUGCUAUCGCACUCCCUUUUAUAGCCUUCUGGUUCACAUAGACUAUGUCGAAUUCAGAAAGCAAAAUUUUCCAAUGAGCCAUUCUUCCGUUCAAAACAUUUGACUAAAUCAUGUACUUCAGAGGGUCUAGUUUUGAGAUAAGCCAAGUUUAUGGUACAACAUGUACUGUCUCAGUCUUCGGGUUGUCCAGAUCAAAACACAACACAAUUUCUCGAUCGGCGAAUAUCUUGUCUCGCAUUCAGUGAACUUCUUGCUAAGAUAGUAUAUCACCUUUUCUUUUCUUCCUGACUCAUCAUGUUGGCCUAACACGCAUCCCAUGGAGUUCUCGAACACUGCCAAAUAUAGUAUCAGUAGUUUAUCUAGGCAAGGUGGCAUCAGCACCGGGGCAUUAGACAAGUAAUGCUUGACUUUAUCAAAAGUUCUUUGGCACUCUUCAUCCCAUACACCUGGGUUGUGUUUCCUAAGGAGGUAGAAUAUCGGGUCACAUUUCUCCGUUAGUUGUGAAAUGAACCGGGCAAUGUAAUUUAGCCUUCUUAGGAAACCUCGAACUUCUUUUUGAGUGCUUGGCAGAGGUAAUUCUUGUAUGGCUUUGACUUUAUCUAGGUUGAUUUCGAUCCCCUUUUCACUGACUACGAAUCCUAAUAGCUUUCCUGACUUGGCGCCAAAGGUACAUUUCGUAGGAUUGAGCUUUAACUGGAACUUUCUUAAUCUUAAAAAUAGUUUCUUCAAGACUUUUACGUGCUCCUUUUCUGUUUUGGAUUUCGCAAUCAUAUCAUCGACGUAAACUUCGAUUUCCUUAUGCAUCAUGUCAUGGAACAGAGUUACCAUGGCUCUCUGAUAUGUUGCUCCUCCGUUCUUUAGUCCCAGUGGCAUCACCUUAUAACAGAACGUUCCCCACAUGGUCAUGAAUGUGGUCUUUUCUAUGUUUGUAGAAUGCAUCUUUAUCUGGUUGUAUCCCGAGAAUCCAUCCAUGAAGGAGAAAAGUGAGUAACCUGCCGUGUUAUCCACUAAUGUAUCAAUGUGAGGUAACGAAAAAUUGUCUUUUGGGUUGGCUUUGCUCAGAUCUCGAUAGUCCACGCACAUCCGUACUUUUCUAUCUCAGAUCUCGAUAGUCCACGCACAUCCGUACUUUUCUAUCUUCCUUAGGAACUGGGACUAUAUUGGCUACCCAUUCUGAGUAUUUAACCACUUGUAAGAAACCGGCGUCGAAUUGUUUCUUGACCUCCUCCUUUAUCUUCAACAAAACAUUAGGUCUCAUUCUUCGGAGUUUCUAUUGGACUGGCUUGCACCCUUCCUUUAAGGGAAGUCAAUGUACCACGAUAUCGGUAUUCAACCCGGUCAUGUCUUGAUAUGACCAUGCGAAGACAUCCUUAAAUUCUUGUAGUAACUCAACGAGGUCUCACCUUGUUUCUGCGGUGAUAAAUUCCAAUCUUCACCUCUCUUCCCUCUCCUAAGCUCACAAUUUCCAUUGACUCCUUGUGAGGUAAGAUUUGUUUCUCAUCUUGUUCUACCAUUCUUAACAAAUCCGGAGAUAAGUUAUAGUUUUGGUCAUCUUCAAAAUCUUGAGAAUCUUCUGUACACAUAUCUUACUCAAAAGGAGACUUUGAGUCAGGAGCAGUAUUACUCAUAUCGUUGAUAUCUGGAGACCUGUUAUAGAGAUGAAGAAAAGUCCAAAGAACGAAAGAAUCUAAGAAUAUUUAUUGGUGGUAUGAUUAUGAAUGAAAUGGAAAGAAUAAAAGAAUAUUUGCUCAAGAUAAUACGCAAAGAUGCAUUCUUAUUAAAAUAACGAUAUUGGAUAAGAGCCUAUUUUACAAAAGGAUUCUUAUUGCCCCUAGGCUUAGAGCAAUAAGCUUGUUUUGGACAUUACUCUGAAUUAAUUUUAAAAGUUACAGGGAUCUCCUCCGCGGUCCAAUUGUUUAAGACGCUCCCAGGCGCAUAUGGGCAAAUGCCUACUUGAUUCUCUUCUCUCGUUUCUUCCUCGGAUAUGGCAUUAAUGCUCAAAGUAGCCUCUUUCCCUGUCGAUUUUCCUUCAGAGUAAAUGGUCCCUCCCGACACGAAUGUUCUAGAUAUAUGAGGAAAGAUCAUGGGCUCCCAUUUGACCUCCUCUCCGUUUAAACGCACUCUUCUUCUCUCUUGCCUUUUCUCUAUUUCCUUUUUCUUUUACCUUGCAUCUGGUUUGUACCCUAAGCUAAAAAGGUCUCGUUUAUCCGUAAGCAUAGGUGUCUUGAUCCUUCCUUGUAAGCUUCUUCCAAGCCCCUUUCCAGGUAAAGCCCCUUUCCAGGUAAAGCUCCUUUCCUAACCGUCAGUUGUAAGCCCAUCCUGGUAGUUUUGGAGAUUUUUGGGCACCGGGACCUUGUUCCCUUCGACGACGAAAGUUGCAUUCACAAAUUCUAGUGAUCAGAAAGAACAUUCUAUUACUUCACAUAUGUCCCCACAUAUGGUGCCUCACUGUAAUGGAGGUAAUGAUAUCCUCUUCCGCGUUUACAGUCACCAGUCGGCCUUCUGUUAUAAAUUUGAGCUUUUGAUGUAAAGAUGAUGGCACUGCCCCCACUGAGUGAAUCUAGGGCCUCCCCAAUAAGCAAUUGUAAGAAGUUUGAAGUCCAUUACUAAGAAAUCCACCUCAUACGUGCUUGGACCGAUCAAAAGGGGUAUUUCAAUCCUUCCUAUUACUUUUCUCUCGGUGCCAUCAAACACCCUUACUAUAUUUUGGCAUGUCUUGAUAUGAGAACUAUCUACUGGCAACCUAUUCAGUGUGGAUAGGGGUAAGACAUUUAGUGUAGACCCAUUGUCAAUCAUACUCCUGGUAGUGUAUGUCCUUUACAGCGGGUGGUGAUGUGUAGCGCCUUUGUUAACCCCAUUCCCCCUAGCGGUAUUUCAUCAUUAUUGAAAAAUAUGAAAUUAUCGGUGCUUAUAUUAUUGACGAGUUGGUCCAGCUUGUUAACAGAGAUAUCAUCUGUGACGUAAGUUUCGUUUAGUACCUUCAUUAACGUGCUCCGAUGUGUCUCUGAACUCAAGAGUAAAGCUAGCACCGAGAUGCGAGCCAAUUGCUUAUGUAACUGUUCAACCACGCUGUACUCACUAUGCUUAAAGAACUUUAGGAAUUCUUUAGCUUCAUUCUCGGUUAUUGGCUCGUUGAUUGGCGAUUCGAGCCUGACCGUCUUUUCCUUCCUUUGUUCGACCACUAGGGUCUUUCCUUUAACAGUUUCAGUUCCUGUACGCGCGGGAUCAUAACGUCUCCUGCUGCGUGUAUAGAAACCUACAUCUUGGUUCUCCCUUGAAGCGCUAGCCGGGUUCUCCCUACCCGGGAUCGUCACGUUGCAGUCGUAAUUCUAGGGAACCCUUUUACUAUCCUUGUAAGGGAAGGAUACCGGAUUCUGGAUUAUGACUCUCGACGCCAUUUGUACUUCUGCUUCAUUGUUCUUUGGUCGCGAAAUUAUCACCACAGGAUGAUUAUCUCUUUAAACCCAUUUUGUUGUUAUUUUCUAUGAGGCAAAACCUCUCAUUCUUCUGGUCAUUCGAUUUCUUCGCAAAAUUCCAUAUCCUUAUUAUCCAUCAGAUUUUGCACUAUAGACCUGAACUUAUUGCACUCUUGGAUGUCAUGGCCUUCAUCAUCAUGAACCUCACAGUAUCUUCUUGCUUCUCUGAGCCUUGAAUCUUGUGUGACUAAACCUUUUUCCACCAUCAUCUUCCAAACCCAUUUCAACAGGAUUUUUACCUUUGAUACAUCUAUCUUGGUUUUCCUCCUUCCCUUUUCAAUUUCGCGUUUACCCCUUUGUCUGAAUGACUAGGUAGCGGAUUCCCUGCCAUAUUAGGUCCUAUGGGCUCAUCGAAUUUCACAACGCCUAUUCCUAUGAGCCUUUCGACUACCUUUUUGAAGGCAGUGUAAUUCUCAAUCGUGUGUCCUGAGAUUCCGGCAUGGUAUUCUCAUUGAGCGUUUGCGUCAUACCACUUAGGGAAUGGAGGUUGCAGGGGUUUCAAGUAGUAAGGUGACACCAUAUGGGCAUCGAAUAAACUCUGAUACAACUCCCCGUAUGACAUUUGGAUAGGCGUAAACUAGACUCUUUCUGUGUUAGGCCUCGGGUUUGAAUCUUGUCUUGUAGAUCCUUGAUGGCUGGUAGUCACUGUCUUUGGUUGGCUCACAGUGACUGGCUUGGAAUAACUCUUAUUGUAUACGCUCGCGUUGUUCACCUCAUUUUCUUUCCUUUUCGAAGCUGAUCUUUUGGCAUUUUCCCCUGUUUCGAUCUUUCUGCAUCUUAUCGCGUUUUCUAUCAUCUCUCUUGACAUUACUAUGUCUGAGAAACUCUUAUUAGCGCUUCCCAACAUGUGGUUGAUAAAUGGAGCUUUCAGAGUGUGGAUAAAGAGUAUAGUCGUUUCUUUCUCCAGAAGAGGUGGUUGGACUUGCAUCGCCACCUCUCUCCAUCUUUGGGCGUACUGCCUGAAGCUCUCAUUUUGUUUCUUCUCCAUGUUUUAUAACGUGAUUCGAUCGGGUGCUAUGUCUGUCACGUAGCCAUAUUGCUUCAUGAAAGCUUGUGCCAAGUCAUUCCAUGAGUGGAUUUGCGCGAGACUUAGUUUGUUGUACCAUUUGGCCGCAGACCCGACCAAACUGUCUUGGAAGGAGUGGAUCAAUAAUUGAUCAUUAUGAACAUACCCUGCCAUUCUUCGACAAAACAUGGUGAUGUGGGCCUCUAGAUAACUAGUUCCAUUGUAUUUUUCAAAGUCUGGGAUUUUGAACUUAGGAGGGAGGACUAGGUCUGGGACCAAGCUCAAAUCUUUAGCAUCGAUCCCACAAUGAUAAUCAGCACUUUCCAUCACUCUGAACUUUUCCUCUAACCACUUGCAUCAGUCUUUCAAAUCUUUUGAGAGCCCCGUACUCACUCUUUCUUCUUCUACCAUGUUAUCUAGAUCAGAGAUUAUAGGAUUAACAGGGUUAUCCCCGAGAUUAGAGCCUGAGCCCGUUUGAUAAUUGAUUGGCAUCGAGGUAUCAGCCUGAAAUUACUGAGGCCUGAUCGUAACGGAUGGUCUUUGCAUGUGUAGCUCGGGUUACGUUUAAGCAUUCAUCGGGGUGAAACCAGGAGGUAGAGGGGAUCUUCAGUAAUGGAUGGCCUCUGCGUGCGUGUUUCAUGCUGUGUUUGGGCAUUUGCCGGGGUAAAACCAGGGGGUAGGGGAAUCUCCAUUUUUAUUUCCCAUAUCGGCCAUAGGGCCCUUUCUUUUGUCUGGCCUACUAGUCAGUAGUCGGGUUAGCUCUUCCAUCAUAUUUCUUUGGGAUUCCAGCAUCUGGUCUCUCAUUUCCUGCUGGAUUUUUGCUAACUAUUCUUGCACUUGUGCUUGCAUCUACUCCUGCAUCUCUUUCUGCAUUUGCUCUAGUCUCUCUAGUUUUUUAUCCGUUGCUUUAGUUUUUCUUCUUGUACUGUAGGGAUGUGUAUUUGGGAGAUUUUCGUCAGUUUCCAGAUUACUGAAAAAUUUUAAUUAAUUAAGGUCUUUUCAUGAAAUUUAAUGCAUAUGAUGAAAUGUAAUGCAAAUGAAUGAAUGCAAAAAGAGGUGUUGAUUCUAAUUCAAUUUAAUUAGAACAACUUUACUAGAAGAAAAUUUUCUUUACAUAGAACGGAUGGUUACAUAUACGACUUUGCCCUAAUGCCCAAAGCCUUAACCUUCCUAAGAAGCCAAGCUAAGUUUCGGCCUCGAUCUGAUUCUGACUCAUAUUUUAGGCUUAAUACAUCAGCCUGAACUGCCAAGGUUUGCAAAUGAUAGGCUAUCUCUCGAAUUUGAGCCACAGCUUCACCCAUGACAUAAUCUCUACUUCUGAUUUGAUCUUGAGAGUGGUGAAGUUGUUCUUUGCAAUGUUCAUUGUUUGCCACAAGGAAUUCCACUCGACAUUUACUAUCUUGUAGUGCCGCAUCGAGUUCCUCUAUCCAUCCUUUCAACUCCUCGAUUUUGCUUAAGUUGGUCUUUAACUCAAUUAUGGAGUUACGGUUACGAUGCAUAUGUAGCGAUUUUUCCAGUUCGACUAUCCGAGCUUGUAAUUUCUAUUUUUCGCUUUGGCUUUCUGACGAACUCUUUUUCAAAACAUCUUCCCGCAUUUGAACAUCUUGAAACAUCUUGAAACUUCUUCUCCCAGUGAUCAGCUCUAGCCUUUUCUCUUUCAAUUUCUUGACGCCACUGAUCCGACGUCUUACCCAAAUCGGCAGUUCUUAUUGACGUACGCAGCUUCUUAUAAUCAGUCUUCAGACUAUCCAAGUCCUCUUCAGCUUUAUUUUUCCCUUUCCUUAGCUUCUCAGCCUCUAGCUUGUGGAUGUCGACAUCUAAUCCUAGCCGCAUCUUUUCCUCCUCUAAUUGCUCUAUCUUCUUUCCCAAUUCUGAGCUCUUUUUCUCAAAGUCUUGCUUGAUGAUUUCUAGCUCGGAUGGGACUACUUGUAAAUACUCUUCUAUUGGUCGGGCAUUUUCCUGACUUAGCAUUGGGAUGUUGUUGUUGACUCUUUUACCCCACCACCGGUCAUACUCAGGGGUCGUCAUUGGACCUGCCGUGAAUCCUUUCAUUCUUCGUGUUUGGUUCCAAGCAUCUGAUAUCUCACGAACCUUCUUCUUAUAAUUGUUGUCUUUAUAGGAGAACUCACAUUGUUCCAACCCUUGUAUCGUUAGUCUAAACUGUCUUGAUCGAUAUUGCCGUAACACGAGUAAUGGAGCGUAUCCAACGGCUCCCUAUAUUCUAGCCAGAGGGACCCAGUCAAAAUCACCGCACCGAUAUAAGAUCCCGUCGGGGAUCAACCAUGGAGCCCUCCAUUCAACAUCUUCGACUCGUAAAUUCUGGAGAAUAGUUAUCCAUUUCCUUUCUGAGAUGUUGUCUCGCCUCGAUGUAGCCACUAACUCUCUUAAUGGGGAAUAGUCCUUGGAGAAAACCCGAUAAGAGACUUUUUCUACCUUCCAAAAAUGGCUAUGGAACCAAGCCAAUAGAAGCUGUGCACAACCAAUAAAUCUUCCUUCGUCUGCUCUCCGACAUGCAUUCAAGGAUCUGAAAGUUUCUGCUAGGAUUACCGGGACGGGUGUGGUCCCUUUAUUAAGGCGAUCGAAUAAAUCCGAGACGACUUCCUCUACAUGUCCUAAUGCCUUAGGAAAGAUAAUCAAACCGUAAAGGCUUAAGGCGAAAACGUCAACCCUCUUUUUCAUAUCCGGAUGUACUAAGAUUAAGUCCAUCAAAUUCCUCCAAUACUAUCCAUUUUUUUCUUGAUCCGAGUUGCAACCCAUUGUUCGCUCAUCCCCGUGGUAUUCAUCAAUUUCUUCAAAAAAUUCAGGACAUUAACAGGUCUUGAAUAGGCCCUGUCGGCCUGAAUCUUCGGGCAAUUAAGUAACGCCAUGUAUUCUUUUACAGUAGGUACUAAAUCGACUCCUCCGAAGGUGAAGCAACUGUAGGCGGAAUUCCAGAACUGCACGAGGGCUCGAAACAAGUAUUUGUCCACCUUUACAUCGAGCAGAUAGGGUAGGUCACCGUAAUUACAGUAAAAGAGUUGCUUGACCUUAUUAUUCCAACUAUUCCAUAUAUCCUUUAAUUCUUACAGGUCGUUCUAAGUCACACUGAUGCGAGUGAAAUCCCACAACUCCGAUUCAUAUCCGCCGGUCAAACUAUCUCCUUUCUCUUGUUGCGUUAUCUCAAACCACACUUGGACGGCCACAUUAUCCUCCACUCUAUCAAGAAAUCUUUUUUCCAUGCUAAACUUUUCUAUCUAGUAACCGAAUGUGAAUCAACACCUUUUUAUGAUGAGAUGCCAUGCAAUAAUAGCAAAAUACAACAAGUCAGUAUUAAAACAAAGAAUAAAACUCAAAGCAAACAGGAAAUAAUUAAGCACCUAAUCAGGUAACCACUAGGGUUUAGUGUGUUUCUAGGGUAGGCUCUUAGGGCUCAUUACAUGUGGUUCGAUUCUAAAGUAAAGGUACCUGAACCAGCAGAUUCUUCGAUCCUCACCCAUUAUAGGCUCAUAUGGGCCGAGUUCGAUUUAGAGGAAUACAUUUCCCUACGGCUAUACGGAGAUGAAAAUCUCACGAAGACGCAAGUACGGAUGUAUCCAGAAAGCGAUCCACUAUCCUAUACGGAGGUGAAGACCUCACGAAGGAGUAGUUUCUCACUUCCACUUAAGAGGUAAAAUUGACUGAUUAUGCAGUAUGAUGCGCAAAAGUAUACUUAAAAGAGUUAAACAGAAAGCCAAUCAUAAAAAAAAACAAAAACCACAAAGGGGAAAUGCCAUGAAAUGAUCGCAAGUUUAAAACGAAUUUUUAAUUUUUGACAAAGGACAAAAACUAAUCAAUUUAUGGCUCGACCUUUAGCAGAGUCGCCAGCUGUCAAACCAUUUUUUUGAAAACGGGUAUCGACUUUGUUCGAAAGUGAAGAUUAAAACAGGAGUCGCCACCGAUCUUUAUUUGGUGUGAUCGGAUCACCUUUAUUUAAAAAAAACAAUUUUAGUUUACUAAAACAACAUUUUGGUCUACGAAAUUCAAGAGAACAAGUUCGGGAGUCGGUUACGUGCGAGGAAGGAUUAGCACCCUCGACACGCCCAAAAAUUGGUACCGAACUGAUUAAUUAGUGUCUUAAUGUCGAAAAUUGAAAAUCAGGAAUAGAUUUGUAAUACGAUCCUUUUUUAUUUACAUCGAUUUUAAAAUUCUUGAAUUAGCUCAAAACGAUUGUUAAAGAUUUCCUUAUCUCGAGAUAUCGGAGAAUCACAUCCCGUAAGUUAGGACACAAUACCAUGAAUUCCCGAGCGUAAGGUCGUCUUUAAUUUAAAUUGGAACCCCGUGUAUUUUAAAACUCAAAAGGAUAUUUAGCUAUUUAGAAUCAACAAGAGAACCGAAACCCCGUAAGUUAGGGCACAAUUCUUCGAUAUUCCAAAACGCGAAACAUUGCCUCAUUUUGAAAUUUCAUUUUUUGAAUAGUAGUGAAUACGGUAUUUAAACGACAUAUAUUAUUUGUUUAGGUUAAAAUAAAACGUUUUAUUGGAUAAAUGUAUUGGGGUUUAAUUCAUGAGGCGAUGAUAUGAAAAAAUAUAGUAAUGAAUAUGAGACAAAUUAAAUAUUAUACAUGAAAAUUUAGAAUAGAACAUAUAUAAAAUAAUCUAAAGUAAAGAAUAUAUUAAAAUAAAUAAUACGUGAGAAAUAAAAAAAUGAAUUUUAAACGAUUAGAGUAGUGUAAACGAAUAAAGUAUGAAAGGAAACUUAAAAUGGAUAAUACAUAUACAACCGUUUAAAACAAAUAACGUAUAAAAAUAUUUAAAAAUAAGUGAUAUGUAUAGUAGUUAAAACAAAUAAUAUAUGUAAAAAUAUUUAAAAUCUAUAACAAUUUACAAUACAUAAGACGUAAAAAGGAUUACGAUAACUAAUAAUAAAAUGUUCUAAUAUAAAUAAUGUAAGAUAAACAAACUUAAAAUAACUAACAAUAAAACAGCUCCUAAAAAGUUGAAAUAAUAAAUAAAUGAACAAAUUAAAUAGAUUAGGGCUAAGCUGAAAUUUAAUUAAAAUUUAAGAUGCAAAUUGUAAAAAAAUAGGCCACUAAGGACCGAAGUGAAACGCGCAUAAAGAACGAGGGACUGGUUGGGAAAAUAUUCCCGCCCUCCAUGCGCAGUGUUUCAAACGGGACAAAAUUGAGAUGAGAGCAAAGAACACGGGAUCAAAAUUUAAAAAAAAACGCAAAAGAAAGAAUAAAAGGGGGCAAAUUGAAAACAAGAGGCAAAACAGAAGGACCCACAGCGCAAAUAUCCCAUUUGAGCUUUAAAAACAUGCGGAUCGCCCCAUUAAUCGGGUCGGGUCGCGGGUUCCCUCCCCAAAACGACCUCGUUUUGAGGCGUGUGGGGAGGGUAGUAAAACGCUGUCGUUUUACUCUGCUAUUAAAGCCCAUUUUUUUUUUUUUUAAUUUCAGCAACAUCUAAAAAAAAAUAAAGAGUUCUCAUUGCUCUCCCUUCACUCCCAUGUCUGGCGAUAGGGUUUCCCGGUGUCCAUUGCGCCGCCGUUGUGGGCUAGUGGCCGGCGUUGCGCGAAUGGGAUUUUUCCGGCUCCGAGGAGGCCAACGGAGAAGAGUAACCUCCCUUUUCUACUCUUUCGUUUUAUUUUUUUAUUCCAAAAAAAUAUAAAAGAAAACAAAAGCUACAGAUAUUUAAGAGCAAAAAUGAAAUAAAAGAGGAAUCACCUUCUAAAGUUUUGGUUUUUGAUUGAUUUUUUGUAUUAGAUUCUCUUUGUUUUUUUGUGUUUCAAAACUGACUUAAGAAAAAAGAAUAAAAAAUAAAGGAUAAAAAAAAUAAGAAACGGAGAUAAAAAGACGAGAGAAUGAAGUUCAACCUUUUUAUUUUUUGAUUGCUUAAAUCGUGUCCUUUACAAUAUUUCGUGUUUGUGGCUAUAUAGCCGAAUACAAAAAUGCUUUAGGCUAUUCCUUGCUACUGUUUUGCUUCGUUUCUGCUUUUUGCUUUCUUUUUGUUUCUGUUUUUGUAGGCUUAGAGGGUCAAUGAGGGCGAAAACAUGCCAUUUUGGUGCGAGGAAACAGCCAUCGGGCGGAGGGUACGCUGACGGAGGCACGUGGGGUGCGGCGCAACCAAGGCUGCGGCGCUGGAGUGGAUGGGAACCUUAGGGUUUCCUGAAAAUUUCAAAUAUUUUGGGCCAAUCGGGCCUUGUGAUGUUGGGCUCAGGAUUUUGGGUUGUGUUUUGGGUCUUAAUUGGGCUGAUGGUUUAGGUUAGGUGUUGGGUCUUGUAAUUGAACUGUAAAUAUUUUGGGCCUGAGCAAAAUUUGGGUCCUACAGAUAAAAUUAUUAGAAAUUUUAUUUUGAGUCAUUAUGAUGCUAAACGAUGCAUUAAUUUAAUCCAGUGGGAUGCUAAGUCUUAGGAUUGGUUUGCACACAAUAUAUUUUAUUAACAAGUAUUUUCUUAUUAAAUUCGGAUUCCAAUUGAUCUAAAAUUAAUAUAAUGCUUUUCGAGUUUUAAAGUCAACUUAUAAGUGGAAGGAAAACAUUAUGUUUUGUCGAUAUUUGAAUAGUUUCUCUAGAUUAUGGAAAGGUAUCUCUACAAUUUGUGGAGCAGUUUAAGAUGGCAUAAUUUGGAAUUUAGGAAUGGGAAAACCAUUGACUUUUAGAGGGAUAAAUGUGACAUGAGUCUCAAUGCCAAUUUUAGGCUCAUAGAUGUGAUGGGCUUACACUACCUCAAGGCCCAACAAUAAGGUUAAAUGCCAAGCAAAUCAAACCAAGAUUCCAC
rnacentral:lncRNA from 1 species